rnacentral:rRNA from 1 species
UACGAAGGGGGGUCUAGCGUUGCUCGGAAUCACUGGGCGUAAAGGGUGCGUAGGCGGGUCUUUAAGUCAGGGGUGAAAUCCUGGAGCUCAACUCCAGAACUGCCUUUGAUACUGAAGAUCUUGAGUUCGGGAGAGGUGAGUGGAACUGCGAGUGUAGAGGUGAAAUUCGUAGAUAUUCGCAAGAACACCAGUGGCGAAGGCGGCUCACUGGCCUGAUACUGACGCUGAGGCACGAAAGCGUGGGGAGCAAACAGG